rnacentral:rRNA from 1 species
GAUGAACGCUGGCGGCGUGCCUAAUACAUGCAAGUCGAGCGAACAGACGAGGAGCUUGCUCCUCUGACGUUAGCGGCGGACGGGUGAGUAACACGUGGAUAACCUACCUAUAAGACUGGGAUAACUUCGGGAAACCGGAGCUAAUACCGGAUAAUAUAUUGAACCGCAUGGUUCAAUAGUGAAAGACGGUUUUGCUGUCACUUAUAGAUGGAUCCGCGCCGCAUUAGCUAGUUGGUAAGGUAACGGCUUACCAAGGCAACGAUGCGUAGCCGACCUGAGAGGGUGAUCGGCCACACUGGAACUGAGACACGGUCCAGACUCCUACGGGAGGCAGCAAUAGGGAAUCUUCCGCAAUGGGCGAAAGCCUGACGGAGCAACGCCGCGUGAGUGAUGAAGGUCUUCGGACCGUAAAACUCUGUUAUUAGGGAAGAACAAAUGUGUAAGUAACUAUGCACGUCUUGACGGUACCUAAUCAGAAAGCCACGGCUAACUACGUG